GCUAAAUACUACUGACUGACCGAUAGUGAACCAGUACCGUGAGGGAAAGGCGAAAAGAACCCCUGUGAGGGGAGUGAAAUAGAACCUGAAACCGUGUACGUACAAGCAGUAGGAGCAGGCUUUGUUCUGUGACUGCGUACCUUUUGUAUAAUGGGUCAGCGACUUAUAUUCAGUGGCAAGGUUAACCAUCUAGGGGAGCCGUAGGGAAACCGAGUCUUAACUGGGCGUUCAGUCUCUGGAUAUAGACCCGA
rnacentral:rRNA from 1 species